GCAUUGAUGCCUGACUGUAGUGUGGCAUGAAUGAGUAUCCUGACUCGUCUACUUCUCUGCCUGCAGUACUAGUGAAUGUCUUGAUGCUGACACCAUAUAGCACCUGUUGGAAUCACAAAGCAUGGCACAGAAGCACACAGCAAGGCUCAGGGGAGGAAUCUUUCCAAGGACGGCGUGCAUGUGACCAAAGGGGUGAUUUUCCAUCAGCCUCUUCUGGAGGAAAAACAGUCCCAGUUUGUGCACAUGGGCAAAAAAAAGAGGUUUUAUCUAGAACUACAUGUUGGUGAACAGAACACUACUUGUAAGAUUCAGUUGCAUGUAGAUAGGGUGAGAAUUGGCACUUUUACGAGACAUGGAAGAAGUUGCAGGCAGGAAACCUGCAUGGAGAUGGGAAAAAGGAAGUUUUGCAUUCCUUGGAAAAUGAAUACUCAACAUUUGUUGUGAAAUGGUAUGAUUGUGUGUUCAGCUUUCCAGCAUGGGCUGUGG